UACGUAGGGUGCGAGCGUUGUCCGGAAUCAUUGGGCGUAAAGAGCGUGUAGGCGGCCUGUUAAGUCUUGCGUGAAAUCUCGGGGCUCAACCCCGAGCGGUCGUGAGAAACUGGCAGGCUAGAGUGCGGGAGAGGAGAGUGGAAUUCCUGGUGUAGCGGUGAAAUGCGCAGAUAUCAGGAAGAACACCCGUGGCGAAGGCAGCUCGCUGGGACGUGACUGACGCUGGAGACGCGAAAGCGUGGGGAGCAAACAGG
rnacentral:rRNA from 1 species